rnacentral:siRNA from 1 species
UUUGGAGGGUCCUGCUUUCGA